GAUGGAUACAGGGUCCAGGAGCCAGUCUGAAGGCUUCCAUCGGAAGCUUCUUGCCUUAGCUGUAACAGAAGUUUACUGUUUAACACAUGCACUUAAGUUGUGCAUGUGUUCUUCGUCUCUCAGUCAUAUCGGACUUUUUGGGACCCUUUGGACUGUAGCCCGCCAGGCUCCUCUGUUUGUGAUUUUUUAGGCAAGAAUACUGGAGUGAGUUACCAUUUCCUCCUCCAGGGGAUCUUCCCAACCCAGAGCUAUUUAUGGAUUGGAAGUCAAUCUGACAGUGUGACUCCUGGCCAUCCAUCAUGGGCAGGAGAGAAAGAUCCAGGCUCCUCUGUCCUUGGGAUUCUCCUGGCAAGAAUUCUGGAAGUGAAAAGUGAAGUCACUCAGUCGUGUCCGACUCCUUGCGACUCCAUGGACUGUAGCCUACCAGGCUCAUCCGUCCAUGGGAUUUUCCAGAGCCUUCUUAUAAGGACACGGGCCGUCAGACUUAGGACCUGGCCUCUUCCAGCAUGACUGCAUCCUAACGUGAUUACAUCGGCUAAAAGCCUGUUUCCCAAUAAGGUCGCAUUCACAGGACGUCCAUACACCUUGGGCUUUGGCUCCUGGUCUGGCCACUCACUGGACCAAGACAGUGGACCUCGGACAAGAUGCAGAACUUCUUGGUGCCUCAGUUUCCUCAUUUACAACGAAAAUACCAAAGGCGCCAAUUCAUAGAGUUGCUCGUGGAUGCAGCACUUAUAACUGUGCCCGAUCCCAGCAGGAUGGAGGGACGUCUUUCUCUCUGUGAGGAAGUGGUGAGAUGAUGCAGCCCAGGGCCUCUCAGUUUUGUCUGUGCGCCAGGAACACCUGCAGGCCUUUUCAAGCCACAGAAGCCCAGGUCACGUCCCAGACCUACUCCUGCUGAGUCUGGAGAACGGGACCCACAUUUAAAAAACAGUGCUUCUUUUACAAGCUCCACAGGUAGGACCCUUGGAAGCUGCAAAGCUCCCCAGAAAGUGCCCUGCAAACUGGAGCCUGCUGUUCUGAGAGAAGGGGUUCUCUCCGUUUUCUCCGCUUGCUGGUCCCAGCAGUAAAUGGUGCUGUCAUGGAUUCCCAUUUGGCCUUGUCAGAUCAUCAGACACAUUUGACUACCUAAGCAGAUGGUGGCAUUUCUUGUGGGUAUUUUGAAAAAAAAAAUAGGACAGGCUCCCAUCUGCCUGCGAUGACUCAGGAGCCGCCUGUCCUUCCCAGAGGCAGGAGCAGCUGUUGAAUGUCCUCUGAGGAUCCCUCUAGCCCCUGGGGGUGGGGACAAUGCCUCCUUCCAGGACAGGGCCAUCAAGGGAGCAUGCUGCGUGCCAGCAAGGGGACAGGGCACAGCCAGGCAAAGGCCACAGUGCCAGUGGUGGGAGCCAGGGCCGGUGCCUGUGUGGGUGGCCCCUUGUGGGUCUGAGUCUGUGCGGAUGAGGGAUGGAGCAGGGUACCUCCUCCCUUCUUUGGCCAGCUACCCAGGGACACGGGGCAGGGCGGGUGGUGACAGUAGAAACUAAAGGGUUUUGCCAGCUAAACAGCUCUCUGCAGCUGGGGCAAAUCCGUGUGGUUAAUAUGUUAAUAGUUAAUAUGUCUAUAGGUUUCUCUCCUCCCCACAGAGCAGCCAGACUCAGGGUGAGGGUGACCCCACCUGGAUGGAGGGGGGGUGGUGACCCUGUCCCACUGCUUCUCCAUCCCUUAGCCUGGAAGCAGGAGGAGGCCUGUGUGUGGGGAGAGGUUGGCCAGCAGAUUUGCCCCCAAGGAGGGGAAGUGCUGGGCAGAGAGUGGGGUCUCCUAGGGUGACCUGAGUAUCUCUCUGAGGGGCCUGCUGUUAGGAGCAACUCAUUUGGUUUUGCAGCAGCUUCUGCUACUGGAACCAAAUGGCUCAGAUCCUUGCUCUUUGCCUAAAAAUACUGAAAGCUCCCAGGCCCCUCAGCUUAUCACUACCCGUUGGUGGUCCUCUGUGGGCCACUGCUCCAGCCAAAGCCCUGUGUCCCCCGCCUUCUGUGAAGAUGCCCG
ensembl:lncRNA